rnacentral:lncRNA from 1 species
CUGAUUUUCAAAUAUUCAAGAAAACUUAAAAAUAACACUAUUUACAAAUAAAAGUUUGUAAACUAAGUUUUAGUACAUCUUAAACCUCAAAAGAAACCAUAAGCGGAAGCAAAAUGACACAUUUCCUAUGGCAAUCACGCUUCCUUCCUGCCCCUCGCCGGUUUGCCACCUUUAUUUCCUUUGCCUGAAAAUUAAACAUAAGAAGGGUGAGUAUAACAAUACUCAGUAAGAGACCCUCUACUGGUCUCGUCAGGGGAAAAUAAAUUGUUAAAGUUCUAUUGGGACACCCUGUACAGUCGCAGUCUUGUGAUCCCGUAGGAUACACAUCUCAGUCUAACGCCCCGAGGAACGUACAUAUCAGUCUAACGCCCGAGGGACGUACAUAUCAGUCUAGUGUUCUGCAGAAACACAUAUCAGUCAAAUGCUCCCGAAGGUGCAAAAUAAAUUGGUGAUCCGUGGGACACCUACAAGGUAAACAUCCCAAUACAAUCUAACAAUUUAUCCCUCAUUCCAUUCAAUCCAUCUUUCAGUUACUUCAAAACAUAAAGUUCUUUCUCUCAACGUCCUAACAGUCAACUUAACUCACUUUAGUCAUAUGUCUGUCAAUAAUAUACUAAUACGUCAGUCAAUCAAACUAUACAGUCAAUACACCCCUCAGUUCACCAGCACAAACCACAGUUCAGUAUAAUCCACAUCCAACCGAAACAAAUUCACUAGUUCACAUCCAAAUCUUUAUACAACACAAUCUAUUAAUAUCAUCAUGUACACAUAAGCAUAAUUUCAGUCAUUCACAUGUAUACUUUCGGCAAUCCACAUCAAUUCACACAACAAUGUAUAUAUAUAUGUUUCCAGUCAAAUACAACAUACACUAAACAUUUAGUCUGCAACCAAACAUGUACAUCUUAAUCAUCAUCCAUACAGUCCAACACAACUCAAAAACUUUAGGUGAGUCCAGUAGAAAGUCCCUUACCUCAAAGUUGGGGAAGCUCCUUAAUCAACUAACGUCCUCGAAACAAUCCUAAGCACAACAACACAAAAUUCAAUUACUUUCACGAUACAUAUCUCACUUACUUUCCUCAACGUAAGUUCCAACUCACCGAUAUAUUGGCAAACUGAACCCUCAACAAUUCACAAAUUGGUUGUGAAUUUAAGUGAUCCAAAGUUACCUUUCACACCUUCAAGAAUAAUUUAUCAAAUUAGUCAAUUAACCCAUCCGUAACGUUUGAACACCUUGAAAACAUCACAACCCAUACUUAAAUUGUUUUGUAAACGACUACAAUUUCAUAACUUCAAUCUUACCAACAAAACUUCGACAGAGACAGAGACGAUUAGGAUGGGGCACGGCGACGCAGAUCUGGGUAACGGCGCAGAGACAGAGGUCGCGCGGCGGUGCUGGGCAGAGGUCACGCGGCGGCUGACGGUUGCAGCGGCAGUUUUUGGAUCGAAGAGAAAAAAAGGGUGGCGGUUGGGUUCGACUUCGGUGAACGGAGACAGAAACAGACGAAACCGGUGGACGGCUCGAUCUAGCGGUGCAGAUCUGGACAGAGGGUCACACGGCGGUGGGCGGAAGGUCACGCGGCGGCCUUGCUUCGCAACAGAGACGGCGGCCGACGGUUGCAGCGGCGGUUUGGCUUGGCCUGACCGUCGACGUCGAACGAAAGAGGAAGAAAGAAAAGAAGGGGUGGUUGGACUGCGGCUGCGCACGAACGGAAAGAGAAUAGAUGGGGCGGCGGUUGCUGCGAACGGGAAGGAGAACGCACGGGGAGGAAGGAGAAGAGAGAAAAGAAAAGAAAAAGAAAAG